GGGACUGCUGCUGUUGCUGUUGAGAAACAACCUGUUGUUGUCUUCCCUGCAUCUGCCUCUGAGAAUUAGCAACCAUAUUAGGAGGCAUGCCUUGCCCAAUGGCAUUUCCUACCAAGUUUUGACCAACAUUUGGCAUGUUUUGCAUGGUUUGCAAAUUUGAAUUCUGGCCCACGACAUUUGGCAUGGUACCCUGCGUCAAAUUACUCACAGAAGGAAGUGAAGGAGCCAAGCUAGCAGAAUUUUGCAGCCCAGUCGAUGCCAUAUUGUUCUGAAGGUUUUGCUGCAACAGUGGUU
rnacentral:misc_RNA from 1 species